AGGAAUACUGUCCUGACACUAUAAGAACUGGGUAUGACAGGGAUGAGGAGAAGGAUACAACUCUGUCUAUAAUAUGUGUGGUGGAAGAUAACUAUGUCCAAGAUCCUGGAGUAUCUACUGUUCCUCUAGAGGAGAAGCUGAAGGAAGAAUCUACAGUUAGAUCCAACACAGCGGCUUUAAACCUGCUGGCAUUCAGUUAAUGCUCUGAGUCUGGUUUAGCUAAUGCCCAAACAACGAUACAGAAAAUCCACCAAUCGCUCAAAGUUGAACUGUGACAGUGCAUUAACAAUUAACAAAAAUCUGACUAAAAGUAAAUAACAUCCAGUUCCAUUUCCUUUGUACAAUAUUUUAUUUUUAUAUAAAACAGAUUACUUUUAAUUCAAUUACUAUAUGAACAUUCAAUAAUAUCUUAUUCACAAUUUAAUACAUUUUAUUUUUUGAUUAUUUUAAACUCUAUAAAUACAUGUUGAUUCAAGUUCUUGGCAUCAGUCAAAUUUAUAGUACAUGAAUAUUAUUAUUAGACUUAUCUUUAAAUUCAUGUAUAUUCCUUUUAAAGAUAAAUAAAAGUUAUAUUUU
rnacentral:lncRNA from 1 species